GUGCCAGCCGCCGCGGUAAUACGUAGGGGGCUAGCGUUAUCCGGAAUUACUGGGCGUAAAGGGUGCGUAGGCGGUCUUUCAAGCCAGAAGUGAAAGGCUACGGCUCAACCGUAGUAAGCUUUUGGAACUGUAGGACUUGAGUGCAGGAGAGGAGAGUGGAAUUCCUAGUGUAGCGGUGAAAUGCGUAGAUAUUAGGAGGAACACCAGUAGCGAAGGCGGCUCUCUGGACUGUAACUGACGCUGAGGCACGAAAGCGUGGGGAGCGAACAGGAUUAGAUACCCCUGUAGUCC
rnacentral:rRNA from 1 species